rnacentral:lncRNA from 1 species
GUGGAAGUAGCACUGGUACUUGCCCGGUGAAGCUCUUUGAGAAUAGAGUGGUGGGGGGUGUAUACUUGUCCGGUGAAGCCCAAGAGGGUGGUGGAAAGCAUAUACUUGCCCGGGGAAGCUCUAAGAGAGUGGUGGGAAGUGGUGUACUUGCCGGUGAAGCCUUUCAGAGAGUGGUGGGAAAUGUUAUUGUGUAAGAGUUGGUAAAGUGUACUGGCCCGGUAAAGCUCUGUAAGAGAGUGGUGG